rnacentral:rRNA from 1 species
UACGAAGGGGGCUAGCGUUGCUCGGAAUCACUGGGCGUAAAGGGUGCGUAGGCGGGUGAUCAAGUCAGGUGUGAAAUCCCCAGGCUCAACCUGGGAACUGCACUUGAAACUGGUCGCCUGAGUGUUGGAGAGGGAAGCGGAAUUCCUGGUGUAGAGGUGAAAUUCGUAGAUAUCAAGCAGAACACCUGCGGCGAAGGCGGC